rnacentral:lncRNA from 1 species
AGAUCACCACAGAAACUUAUAAGCAACUCACUAUGCUUUGGUGUCAGACUACCUGAAUUUUUAAUUCAAGAUCAGAAGGCUUUUAGGCAUAGUCAAGUACUUGUGAAGUCAAUGCAUGAGUCAAGAUAGAAUUGACUAUUCCAAAAGAUUGGAGAGAAUGCUUUGUGUUUCAAUUUAGUAAGACCUUGGCCAGGGCAAUCCUUGUGAGGAGUCACAAAAUUUAUUAGGUUGAGACACAUAAUAGAUAUACUGUUAAGAGUUGACAAUUUAAACUCUAAGUCAUUCUAGCAUCAAGGGUCAAAGGGAUGAAUUAUAUGGUAACUAUAUCC